AGUCCAGGUAAUGGAGCAGAGACUGGAGCAGAGACAAGUUGUUCCCACUGAGCUCUCCUCAGAUUACAGAUUGGUGAUACAUCACAGGGGCUCAUGAAUGUGUCUUAAGCUGGGUCAUUGAAGUGGAAUGUUUUCACAAGACCUCCUCCACUUGCUACUGUGUCCGGAAUUGGUGGGUUCUUGGUCUCACUGACUUCAAGAAUGAAGCCGCGGACCCUCGCGGGAGUGGCAAAUCAAAGGCAUUGCAGCCUCUUUCAUCACUGCCGAUUGCUGAUGCCAACCAUGUGCCAAGUGCUUAAUACGUCACCUUAAAUCUUCUCAUCCACCCUCAGAGUAGCUGCAGCAUCAACCCAGUGCCCUGACUUUCAAGACGACUAUGAAAACACCCCAACUGCUGCUAAAUUACCAGCAACAAGGAUCUGGAAUUUUCCUGACAAGAGCAGUGCCUAUCCUGAGGCAAUCGUAUUUCUCCUUGACUUCUCUCCAGUAUCAGCUUGUUGCUUGACACCCCUGCACAGCCAACUGUGUAAUGUGGACAUUCUUAUUCAAAAGAAAGAACACCGAAAUUGACCUUACCCUGACAAUAUGAUGGCUGAAGGAUUUAUGAUCACUUAUAACAUUUGAAAUUGAGGCGGAACCUGAAGAAUAAGACUCUGGUGAAAGGUCCUAUUUAUGCUUUUGAUGUCUUUCACUUGGACAUUUACCACAUGCCUAUUGGUAGGUUUGUUACAUAGGUCAGUUAAGGUGAUACAAGAAUAAAUAAAACACUAUCCCUAUCCUUUAAUAUCAUUUAUUUAUGGGGUCAAUCACAGAUUUUCAUUUUUCAAAAUCUUUGAUAAAUGUCAGAAUUAUGUUUUUUAAUAUUUUUACAGAAUUAUUACAAUAUAUGGUAGAGGAUGGAAGGCAAGGUAGUAUGAAACGGAAAAGAUAUUUUGAAUUAAGGUAUUUGGACCUGGAUUAAUAUUUUUGCUUUGGUCUUUAUUAGCUGAGUGACCUUGAGAAAGUUCUUCUACUAAAAAAGAACAAAGAUAAUAAUUACUUCAUGAAAUUGCUGUAAAAAACACAUAACAAGUAUAUCCAGACUCAACAGUGUAUGCUCAAAAAUGCAGAUCCUUUUUCCCUUACCUGCAAAUAAAGUCUUACAGUAAUACAGUGGGGGUAAAGGUUUAAACUGGUGGAUUCAAGAAGGGCUAUAGAAAGAGGUAGCAUCUUAAUAGGGGAAGGAGAGGAUCCAAGAAAUCAGAUCCAUUUUCUACAAAAAGAAAUGGGAAGACAGAUAAUUCAAGAAGAAAAGUUUACAUGAUUAAAGACCCGAAGUUAGAAAUAGUGAUGUGUCUCAAUAGUAAGUUAGGAAUUGGGGUGGACACAAUUGUUGGAAGAAGGAUGGUUUCAGCAAAGGCCCAAGUUAGGUGACAAUUUCAAGUGUUUGUGAAGAUAUAUGAACAAAAUUAUAAAGUAGUUAGGGUAUAAGAAAUAGGGAGGAGGGAAUGAAUUAACAUUUAUGGAGUGUCUUGCAUGUUCCAAGCACUGUACUACUUGCCUUAUAAACCUUUCUUCAAUAAACGCCUACAACAAUCCUGA
ensembl:lncRNA LINC01505 long intergenic non-protein coding RNA 1505